AACCAAGGAAGAGGGCUUGGCCCCAAAGCUGGAGGCCCGUGCGUAGCUGGCUGAAGCCCCUGCACCGGAAGGGGUGAAAAAAGCACCAUUCAGAAGCAGGUCACCCUCCGACCUCCAAUUCCAGUUCUUCCACGUGCUUUGAUCUGUGUCCACCCUUUUUGUUACCUAUUCAAUCGAAGCAUAGGGAUUAUUAGAAGUCGCGAUGGAAGGAAAAUUCUUAUAAAUGGUGCACAAAAGAGGGAGGAUGGACGGAGCUGUUGUAGGUUGCUUCUUGUACCUCCUUUGCAAAUGGAUUGGUCGGCGCAAGGUAUCGGUUGCCUUGACUGUUGAUCGUUGGAUUCGCGCUCCCGCCAAUGGCGUACAUCUCCCAGUGCGUGUAGUCAUUGUUUACCACGUGGAAGUAGCCAUGCCUGCACCUGAAAUCUCAAGCAACAUAGUCAUUGUGGAGAUUAUUUAUUACUUUCAACUUCUCGGACAAUAUGUUAAUUUGUUCCGUUUUCCUAAGCGGAUCAAAAGAGUUGGACAAUAUAUAUUCCAUCGUUGUGGAUUUCCGAAAGUUACCUGGGCAUUCUCUGAAUCAGGCCUUCACCAAAAUGAUUAAAUGCGAUCGUUACUUGCAUGAUGCUGUCCCUUGCAUAAGAAUCAGUGUGUCCCAAAAGCAUGACCUGCAUCAAUUCGGCCAAUAAUGCUCACACAAGACAAAUUUUCAGAAUUUAGAUAAAUCAUCAAUGUCAAUCAAGCAAAUCUUUUUUGUUCUCCCGUGCUAAAUGCCAAUUGCAGUUAAGAAAAUAGAAAUCAAUUCUUUGGCGAAUGCUCCUUGGUGCCUGUCAUAAUAGGCAAUCUCAAUCAUCAAAGAAAGAGCACUGAAAUAAGGUGGCUAGAUGUACAGUAGUCAUAUUUAGAAAGUAACAUUUGGUAGCAGCAUAUUUUCUUGUUUUUAACAUGUCUUGCACUGGACAAAUAGAACGCAUGAUAUAUGAAAUAGCACUUCCUGUCGAAUUCGUCCCUUAUUCAACACUCUUUUGGUGCUACAGAAUAAAAUCGAAUAACCGACGUUCGACUGGAGCAAUGCAAGAAAGGGAUACCUCAUUGUGGUGGGUGAAGUAAUUGUUGGAGACCGUAAUGGCAGUGGAG
rnacentral:lncRNA from 1 species